UGCACGGGGAAGUUGGUCUUGGCAUUGCGUCCGCUCAUCAGAACGGCAGCCUCGUCAUAGGCCCGUGCGGCCUCUUCAGCGGUUUCAAAGAAGCUCAAAAUGAUUUAGAUCUGAACAUAAGAUUGCUGAUCGGCGAGGGAAAUGGCAAGGGUCAGUAUGAUAGAAGGGCAGUUGUGCAUUAUUAGUACAUAUGUUGCGUUUUUUCUUGUAAGGACAAAGUUGCCGAAAGGACAAAUCUGAGGGACAAGGCAUUAAAGCCGGCCUUAAUUAAGCGCUCUCUUAUUGUUA